CAUGGUCAAUGAAUGAAACAGGGGUGAUUGCAAAAAAAAAAAUCUCAAGCCUGAAAAUUUUUCUUCAGGUUAGGUCAUGAGGAAUGGGUCAUUGGUGGGCCUGCAUCCAGCAAUUCACAGGUCUGAAUAGGACCAAAUUAAGCAAUCAUAGGCCCCUGAGCAAUAAGGUCUUGUGGCCUCUCAACCACACAACUGACACUGAAUACACAUAAUGCAAAGGGGUGUUCAGGGGGCCCUCCCCUGAGAAAAUUUUGAAAAUUAUAGCCCCUAAAGUGCCUUUUCAUGCAAUUUCAGAUGGAAACUACUUGUUUGAGUAAUGCGCAAAUACAGUGCAGUUCUGCUAAUUAAUCCACCACUGGAUCUGCAUUAGGAAGUAUAAACUGAGCUUUCAACGGUGAUGUGAUAACGCUUGGUUUGGGCUUUCACUUCCUCAUAAAUAAUAGGUCGGGGCCAAAACAGCAUAAUCUUAUUU